rnacentral:rRNA from 1 species
UACGGAGGGUGCAAACGUUGCUCGGAAUCAUUGGGCGUAAAGCGCACGUAGGCGGCCUGUUAAGUCAGAUGUGAAAGCCCCGGGCUCAACCUGGGAAUUGCAUUUGAGACUGCUCUGCUCGGGUGCGGAAGAGGGAAGCGGAAUUUCCGGUGUAGCGGUGAAAUGCGUAGAUAUCGGAAGGAACACCAGUGGCGAAAGCGGCUUCCUGGUCCGACACCGACGUUCAGGCACGAAAGCGUGGGGAGCAAACAGG